GUAAGGUUAAGCCUCACGGUUCAUUAGUACCGGUUAGCUCAACGCAUCGCUGCGCUUACACACCCGGCCUAUCAACGUCGUCGUCUUCAACGUUCCUUCAGGAGACUUAAAGUCUCAGGGAGAACUCAUCUCGGGGCAAGUUUCGUGCUUAGAUGCUUUCAGCACUUAUCUCUUCCGCAUUUAGCUACCGGGCAGUGCCAUUGGCAUGACAACCCGAACACCAGUGAUGCGUCCACUCCGGUCCUCUCGUACUAGGAGCAGCCCCCCUCAAUUCUCCAGCGCCCACGGCAGAUAGGGACCGAACUGUCUCACGACGUUCUAAACCCAGCUCGCGUACCACUUUAAAUGGCGAACAGCCAUACCCUUGGGACCUACUUCAGCCCCAGGAUGUGAUGAGCCGACAUCGAGGUGCCAAACACCGCCGUCGAUAUGAACUCUUGGGCGGUAUCAGCCUGUUAUCCCCGGAGUACCUUUUAUCCGUUGAGCGAUGGCCCUUCCAUUCAGAACCACCGGAUCACUAUGACCUGCUUUCGCACCUGCUCGCGCCGUCACGCUCGCAGUCAAGCUAGCUUAUGCCAUUGCACUAACCUCCUGAUGUCCGACCAGGAUUAGCUAACCUUCGUGCUCCUCCGUUACGCUUUGGGAGGAGACCGCCCCAGUCAAACUACCCACCAGACACUGUCCGCAACCCCGGUAAGGGGCCAACGUUAGAACAUCAAACAUUAAAGGGUGGUAUUUCAAGGUUGGCUCCACGCAGACUGGCGUCCACGCUUCAAAGCCUCCCACCUAUCCUACACAUCAAGGCUCAAUGUUCAGUGUCAAGCUAUAGUAAAGGUUCACGGGGUCUUUCCGUCUUGCCGCGGGUACACUGCAUCUUCACAGCGAGUUCAAUUUCACUGAGUCUCGGGUGGAGACAGCCUGGCCAUCAUUACGCCAUUCGUGCAGGUCGGAACUUACCCGACAAGGAAUUUCGCUACCUUAGGACCGUUAUAGUUACGGCCGCCGUUUACCGGGGCUUCGAUCAAGAGCUUCUCCUUACGGAUAACCCCAUCAAUUAACCUUCCGGCACCGGGCAGGCGUCACACCGUAUACGUCCACUUUCGUGUUUGCACAGUGCUGUGUUUUUAAUAAACAGUUGCAGCCAGCUGGUAUCUUCGACUGGUCUCAGCUCCAUCCGCAGGGACUUCACCUACACACCAGCGUGCCUUCUCCCGAAGUUACGGCACCAUUUUGCCUAGUUCCUUCACCCGAGUUCUCUCAAGCGCCUUGGUAUUCUCUACCUGACCACCUGUGUCGGUUUGGGGUACGAUUUAAUGUUACCUGAUGCUUAGAGGCUUUUCCUGGAAGCAGGGCAUUUGUUACUUCAGCACCGUAGUGCCUCGUCAUCACACCUCAGCCUUGAUUAUCCGGAUUUGCCUGGACAAUCAGCCUACAUGCUUAAACCGGGACAACCGUCGCCCGGCUAACAUAGCCUUCUCCGUCCCCCCUUCGCAGUAACACCAAGUACAGGAAUAUUAACCUGUUUCCCAUCGACUACGCCUUUCGGCCUCGCCUUAGGGGUCGACUCACCCUGCCCCGAUUAACGUUGGACAGGAACCCUUGGUCUUCCGGCGAGCGGGCUUUUCACCCGCUUUAUCGUUACUUAUGUCAGCAUUCGCACUUCUGAUACCUCCAGCAUGCCUCACAGCACACCUUCGCAGGCUUACAGAACGCUCCCCUACCCAACAACACAUAGUGUCGCUGCCGCAGCUUCGGUGCAUGGUUUAGCCCCGUUACAUCUUCCGCGCAGGCCGACUCGACCAGUGAGCUAUUACGCUUUCUUUAAAUGAUGGCUGCUUCUAAGCCAACAUCCUGGCUGUCUGUGCCUUCCCACAUCGUUUCCCACUUAACCAUGACUUUGGGACCUUAGCUGGCGGUCUGGGUUGUUUCCCUCUUCACGACGGACGUUAGCACCCGCCGUGUGUCUCCCGUGAUAACAUUCUUCGGUAUUCGUAGUUUGCAUCGGGUUGGUAAGUCGGGAUGACCCCCUAGCCGAAACAGUGCUCUACCCCCGAAGAUGAGUUCACGAGGCGCUACCUAAAUAGCUUUCGGGGAGAACCAGCUAUCUCCCGGUUUGAUUGGCCUUUCACCCCCAGCCACAAGUCAUCCGCUAAUUUUUCAACAUUAGUCGGUUCGGUCCUCCAGUUAGUGUUACCCAACCUUCAACCUGCCCAUGGCUAGAUCACCGGGUUUCGGGUCUAUACCCUGCAACUUAACGCCCAGUUAAGACUCGGUUUCCCUGCGGCUCCCCUAUACGGUUAACCUUGCUACAGAAUAUAAGUCGCUGACCCAUUAUACAAAAGGUACGCAGUCACACCCGAAGGUGCUCCCACUGCUUGUACGUACACGGUUUCAGGUUCUUUUUCACUCCCCUCGCCGGGGUUCUUUUCGCCUUUCCCUCACGGUACUGGUUCACUAUCGGUCAGUCAGGAGUAUUUAGCCUUGGAGGAUGGUCCCCCCAUAUUCAGACAGGAUACCACGUGUCCCGCCCUACUCUUCGAGUUCACAGCCUGUGCAUUUUGGUGUACGGGACUAUCACCCUGUACCGUCGGACUUUCCAGACCGUUCCACUAACACACAAGCUGAUUCAGACUCUGGGCUGCUCCCCGUUCGCUCGCCGCUACUGGGGGAAUCUCGGUUGAUUUCUUUUCCUCGGGGUACUUAGAUGUUUCAGUUCCCCCGGUUCGCCUCGUUAACCUAUGUAUUCAGUUAACGAUAGUGUGACGAAUCACACUGGGUUUCCCCAUUCGGACAUCGCCGGCUAUAACGGUUCAUAUCACCUUACCGACGCUUUUCGCAGAUUAGCACGUCCUUCAUCGCCUCUGACUGCCAGGGCAUCCACCGUGUACGCUUAGUCGCUUAACC
rnacentral:rRNA from 1 species